rnacentral:rRNA from 1 species
ACGGAAGGCAGCAGUGAGGAAUAUUGGUCAAUGGGCGGAAGCCUGAACCAGCCAAGUCGCGUGAAGGAUGAAGGUAUUAUGUAUUGUAAACUUCUUUAGCCAGGGGGCAAUAAGGCGUACGCGUACGCCGAUGAGAGUACCUGGAGAAUAAGGAUCGGCUAACUCCGUGCCAGCAGCCGCGGUAAUACGGAGGAUCCGAGCGUUAUCCGGAUUUAUUGGGUUUAAAGGGUGCGCAGGCGGCGUUUUAAGUCAGUGGUAAAAUCGUGAGGCUCAACCUCAUCCCGCCAUUGAUACUGGAGCGCUUGAUGGCGGUCGAGGUUUGCGGAAUUCGUCGUGUAGCGGUGAAAUGCAUAGAUAUGACGAAGAACACCGAUUGCGUAGGCAGCAGACCAGGCCGUAAAUGACGCUCAUGCACGAAAGUGCGGGGAUCGAACAGGAUUAGAUACCCUGGUA